rnacentral:piRNA from 1 species
UGACUCAGAGAAGGAAGACACACGGA